rnacentral:tRNA from 1 species
AAAAAUUUAGUUAAUAAAUAACGUUAGUCUGUCAAGCUAGAAUAAUUAAAAAUAAUAAUUUUUA